CUUAAAGCAGAAGUGCUAAGAAAAGUUAACUUGACAAAGAUCACACAGUUAGGAAGUAAAAAGCCAGAGUUUUGACUCUCUGGUGACCUAUGUUCAUUCCACAUCAUGCAGCCUUAUGGAUGCUCUAAGGCUGACCUGAUCAGAAAGAGGAGAUAAGCGAGAUCAUGGACCAAACUGCUGGGGACGGAAGUAUCUGGGAAUGUCAUCUCAAUUCCAGUUUGGGAUUUUCUGGUCAGCACCAAUGAAGUAAUCUGCCAAGUAGACCCUUUUUCAUUCCCCAAAGGAAGAUGAGUUCAAAUCUCAGCUCUGGUGAAAACUCUUGAGGAAGCUAUUUAACCUCAGUUUUCUCAUCUGUAAAAUGGGCUAGGGACUUCCCCCGUGGCUCAGUGGUUAAGGAUCUGUCUGCCAAUGCAGGGGACGUGGGUUUGA